rnacentral:rRNA from 1 species
UGACGAGAAGACCCCGUCAAACUUUAAUUAUCAUAUAUAAAAGUGAAAAUAUAAAAUAUAUAUUAAUUUUAGUUGGGGCAACUGGGAGGGAUAAAAAUCUUUUAUUAAAUCAUUUAUAGUAAUAUUUAUAUUUAUGAUCCAAAUUAGUUAAUUUUGAACUUAGAAU